rnacentral:tRNA from 1 species
GGGGUUGUAGCUCAGUGGUAGAGCGCUUGCCUAGUAUGUUUGAGGCACUGAGUUCAAUUCUCAGCAUUCA